rnacentral:rRNA from 1 species
AUGGAUGGAGCUGGAGCACUGAUGCCAUCUUGGCUGGAACUGUGGAAUGAGUGGGAGAUCCAAGUUGUUGUUGUUGCCAGCUUCAGUCUGCAGGUUAUCCUCUUCUUCUUCGCAGGGAUCCGCCGCUACACCGUCUCGUCUAUUCUCAAGGCCCUCCUCUGGCUGGUGUAUCUGCUUGCCGAUGUCGUUGCGACGUAUGCCCUGGGGCACAUUUCCUCGUCCUUGUCGAAGAAAUCGUCUGUCGAGCACCAGCUGGUGGCGUUCUGGGCGCCGUUCCUCCUGCUGCACCUUGGUGGCCAGGACACCAUCACCACGUACGCCCUGGAGGACAAUAAACUGUGGCUGCGGCACCUGCUGAACAUGUUUGUGCAAGUCGCCGGCACCGGAUAUGUGCUCUAUAAGUACAUCAAUGCAGGCGGGGCGACCCUUGUCCCUGCCGCUAUGUUGGUUCUGGCCGCCGGAGUUUUCAAGUUCGGCGAGAGGAUAUGGGCACUGAAGCGCGCAAGCAAGAAGGGUUCCAAAGGGCCAAGUAGGUCUUUUCUGCAGAUUAUCUGUUGUAUUUGUAUUGAUUUUCAUCCGGAGCCGGAGGGUAGGGCCACUGAAUCAGUUCUGGACUGGAAAUACAAUGCAAUGGACUGCUUCACUAAAAAUAAACAGUUUGGAAUUUAUACAUUUAUUGUGAUGACAGCACACGCGUUGCGCCAUUUGCUUGUCAAGCCUUUAAUCAUAGACAGGAAUGAGGCGUCCAUAGACAGGAGUGAUACCACAAUUGCACUACUAAAUGGUCGAGUGCAAGACUAUCUAUUGGAAGACGACGAGAAGGAAGAUGCAUCAACGGAGCAUAAGAGGCACAUUGGAGAGCUCUACAAGACAAUCGAGGUGGAGCUCGCCCUGAUGUAUGACAUGUUGUACACCAAGGCAGAAGUGAUUCACACACGGUAUGGCUACUGCAUCCGUGCUAUUUCCCUUGUGUCUUGCUUUUCCGCUCUUGUGGUCUUCAUGAAAAUCAAGAGGGAUGGCUACAGCACACCCAACAUUGUUAUCACUUUUGCUCUUCUGUGGGGAGCUUGCGCACUGGAGAUUGCAUCAGUUGUCAAGGUGAUUGGUUCGACCUGGACAUAUGCCAUCUUGAAGGGCGCCUGGGGAUGGAAGUGGCUGGCCAAUGCAAUUCUGUUCGCACGUUACCACCUCGUCAUUGUCAAGGAUGGAAGAUGGUCCAAUUCUGUCGGGCAGUUCAACUUCAUAUCCUUCUGUGUUCGCAGCAAGAGUUCCGACUUCAUGGGAUCAACAGCUGAUUUGUUUGGGCUCAAGAACUUGUGGUACAAAGCUCAGUGCACCAAACAUACCAAGCUUUCACCUUCCGUGAAGGAGUUCGUAUGGCACUUGGUCAGAGGUGAGAAGAGUCAUAUGGUAAAGAUUGAAGAUGUGGCCAUCAGAAGUGGUUACUGGGCUCGCAGGUUCAGGGGCUUCCACCAAAGCGAGCAGCUCGAUUGGAGCAUGAGUUUUGAAUUUCUGAAGAGCGUGCUUAUCUGGCCCAUAGCCACAUCCACCUUCCUCAAUGGCCCUGCCAUCAAAUCCCAGCUGGUCGGCAAGGAUAAGGACAUGGCUGAAGCAGUGAAUACUCUCUCUGAUUACAUGAUGUACCUCCUCGUCAAGCACCCCGACAUUCUGCCCAUCAGAGCAGCUGAUUAUAGUCUGUUUGAGAAAGCAUGUGCCUCUUUUCACCCUGAUGAGUGUAAGUCUCACCAGACAAUUCUGGAUUACAAUAAGAGCAUUUGUGAUAGGGACAUACAAAUACUAUAUGGUACUGGCGACUUGACGCAAGCUGGUUGGGAUGCUCACCCGGGCGAAGCUGUGCUGGUGAAAGCAUGCACCCUUGCGCACACAAUGCUUGACAUGAAGUUGGGGCUCACACAUAAGAUGGUAAUAAUUGGAAGAGUGUGGACAGACAUGUUGUGCGACACAGCAAUCAAUGCAUCUGGGGAAUUCCAUGCCAGGCAGCUGAGCAAUGGUGGCGAGUUUCUGACCCACAUCCUACUUCUCACUGAAUAUUCUCGUGCUAUAACCAAAGGAUCAAAUCUGUACCGGGAGGACUUGAGAGCAGCUGAUGAAAGUGUGGAUGGUAGUGCUGGCCACGUGGAGCUGAAUGUGGAUGAUGGCAACGGCGACGAGAUCACCGAAAUCCGCUGA